AUACUUUGCUGGCAGGAAAGACACCACAAGAAGGUGGUUUUCGCAGGGUNAGGCUCCUUCAUCACAUUCCAGGUGUUCUGACCCCCGCAGUUUUCCCAAGUGUGGGAAAUUCAGCUGCAUAAUUUAUGGUUAUGGGGGGCUGUUUUCCCCUG
rnacentral:snRNA from 11 species